CUUAGUGGCGGACGGGUGAGUAACGCGUGGGUAACCUGCCUCACACAGGGGGAUAACAGUUAGAAAUGACUGCUAAUACCGCAUAACCCGAUAGGAUCGCAUGAUCCAGACGGAAAAGAUUUAUCGGUGUGAGAUGGACCCGCGUCUGAUUAGCUAGUUGGUGAGGUAACGGCCCACCAAGGCGACGAUCAGUAGCCGGCCUGAGAGGGUGAACGGCCACAUUGGGACUGAGACACGGCCCAAACUCC
rnacentral:rRNA from 1 species